rnacentral:lncRNA from 1 species
CAAGUUUGCAAGUCGCUCAGAAUCUGAACGAAUAGAGUGGCAUACGGUCGCCCAGAGUCUCGCCCAAAUCUUCAAGUCGCCCAAGGUAUCAACAAGCAUAACGCAUUAUGAUGCAGUUAUUGAGGCAGUUGUUAAAGUAACUUUAUCACGUUCCACGACUCAAGGGAUUCAAUCGAAAGCAGUUAAACGAUGCAAGAUAAUGACAGCAGUUAAAAGGACAGUUGCAUGACAAAAUGGCCACUACAAAGAAAGUGGGUAGUUAUAGGGCGAUCAAGCAGUUUUUUAGAGCAGUUAAUCACAAAGGGAUCGCCUAUGAAGUAUAAAAGGGAGAAAGAACUUAGAAGUAAAAGACCGAAUCCAAAACUCUCGAACAGAGAAUAUGUAAUUUUCAUUCCUUUAGCUUUUAGACUUAAACAUUUCCUUUUCUGUAACUCGUGUGCUUGCGCCCCUUGGAGGCACGUUGUUUUCCGUUUCCAAUUGUAAAGUUCAUCGCCAAUAAAAGAACACCCCUUUUUGGGACUUUGUCUCAAGAGGUUUCGUCCCUUACACAAUCGUCUAAUCCUCUUUAAUUGUUAGCGAAUUAACCCGCGCGAAACAGAUAUCUAUAGUUAUAUAUGUAUGAAAGAGUGAGCGUGUUACAGUAUCAAUUGAAAUUAUUUUAUAUAUUACAUUACUUUGAACAGCAUAGAUAAAAUCAGAUCAUUGUUUUUUUCUUCAUCUUUUCCCCCCUUUCUGAGCGAAAAUUUAGAUCAAUUGAAGAGUCAAGAAAAUGAAAAUAAAAUAAAAUCUUGAAUUAUUGGCUUAUACAUUUGAAUUAAAAAAAGAAUAAAUUUACAUAAUAGGGAAGAGAGAGAGACCUGUGCUUCUGAGAUUCUUGUUUGAAGCGGAGAAAUUUCUAGUACAAGGGAAAAGCUGAUGUUUAGUGGAAUGAGAGUGAAGAAGAAAUAGAGUAUCUGAGGGCUUAACUGUAAAACUCAUUGCAAUUGCUGAUUCUCAUCGCUCUUAUCCUGAUUUGAUUUGUACCUUAAAAUGCAUAUGGAAAUUUUAUUCUGAUUUGAUU